ACGGUACCUGCAGAAGAAGCCCCGGCUAACCACGUGCCAGCAGCCGCGGUAAUACGUAGUGGGCAAGCGUUAUCCGGAUUCAUUGGGCGUAAAGCGCGCGUAGGCGGUCUGUUAGGUCAGGAGUUAAAUCUGGGGGCUCAACCCCUAUCCGCUCCUGAUACCGGCAGGCUUGAGUCUGGUAGGGGAAGAUGGAAUUCCAAGUGUAGCGGUGAAAUGCGCAGAUAUUUGGAAGAACACCGGUGGCGAAGGCGGUCUUCUGGGCCAUGACUGACGCUGAGGCGCGAAAGCUAGGGGAGCGAACAGGAUUAGAUACCCUGGUAGUCCUAGCUGUAAACGAUGGACACUAGGUGUGGGGAGAUUAUACUUUCCGUGCCGCAGCUAACGCAUUAAGUGUCCCGCCUGGGGAGUACGGUCGCAAGUCUAAAACUCAAAGGAAAUGACGGGGGCCCGCACAAGCAGCGGAGCAUGUGGCUUAAUUCG
rnacentral:rRNA from 1 species